GCAGUCGAACGGCAGCACAGUAAGAGCUUGCUCUUACGGGUGGCGAGUGGCGGACGGGUGAGGAAUACAUCGGAAUCUACCUUUUCGGGGGGGAUAACGUAGGGAAACUUACGCUAAUACCGCAUACGACCUUCGGGUGAAAGCAGGGGACCUUCGGGCCUUGCGCGGAUAGAUGAGCCGAUGUCGGAUUACCUAGUUGGCGGGGUAAAGGCCCACCAAGGCGACGAUCCGUAGCUGGUCUGAGAGGAUGAUCAGCCACACUGGAACUGAAACACGGUCCAAACUCCUACGGGAGGCAGCAGUGGGGAAUAUUGGACAAUGGGCGCAAGCCUGAUCCAGCCAUACCGCGUGGGUGAAGAAGGCCUUCGGGUUGUAAAGCCCUUUUGUUGGGAAAAAAAAGCAAUCGAUUAAUACUCGGUUGUUCUGACGGUACCCAAAGAAUAACCACCGGCUAACUUCGUGCCAGCAGCCGCGGUAAUACGAAGGGUGCAAGCGUUACUCGGAAUUACUGGGCGUAAAGCGUGCGUAGGUGGUUGUUUAAGUCUGUUGUGAAAGCCCUGGGCUCAACCUGGGAAUUGCAGUGGAUACUGGGCAACUAGAGUGUGGUAGAGGGUAGUGGAAUUCCCGGUGUAGCAGUGAAAUGCGUAAGAUCGGGAGGAACAUCCAUGGCGAAGGCAGCUACCUGGACCAACACUGACACUGAGGCACGAAAGCGUGGGGAGCAAACAGGAUUAGAUACCCUGGUAGUCCACGCCCUAACGAUGCGAACUGGAUGUGGUGCAAUUUGGCACGCAUAUCGAAGCUAACGCGAUAGUUCGCCGUCUGGAGUACGGUCGCAGAC
rnacentral:rRNA from 1 species